GCUUAGGGAGGAGCUUGCGUCACAUUAGUUAGUUGGUGGGGUAAAGGCCUACCAAGACUAUGAUGUGUAGCCGGGCUGAGAGGUUGAACGGCCACAUUGGGACUGAGACACGGCCCAAACUCCUACGGGAGGCAGCAGUAGGGAAUUUUCGGCAAUGGAGGAAACUCUGACCGAGCAACGCCGCGUGAACGAUGAAGUAUUUCGGUACGUAAAGUUCUUUUAUUAGGGAAGAAUAAAUGAUGGAAAAAUCAUUCUGACGGUACCUAAUGAAUAAGCCCCGGCUAACUAUGUGCCAGCAGCCGCGGUAAUACAUAGGGGGCAAGCGUUAUCCGGAAUUAUUGGGCGUAAAGGGUGCGUAGGCGGUUAAAUAAGUUUAUGGUCUAAGUGCAAUGCUCAACAUUGUGAUGCUAUAAAAACUGUUUAGCUAGAGUAAGAUAGAGGCAAGUGGAAUUCCAUGUGUAGUGGUAAAAUGCGUAAAUAUAUGGAGGAACACCAGUAGCGAAGGCGGCUUGCUGGGUCUUUACUGACGCUGAGGCACGAAAGCGUGGGGAGCAAACAGGAUUAGAUACCCUGGUAGUCCACGCCGUAAACGAUGAGUACUAAACGUUGGGUAAAACCAGUGUUGAAGUUAACACAUUAAGUACUCCGCCUGAGUAGUACGUACGCAAGUAUGAAACUUAAAGGAAUUGACGGGACUCCGCACAAGCGGUGGAUCAUGUUGUUUAAUUCGAAGGUACCCGAAAAACCUCACCAGGUCUUGACAUGCUUCUGCAAAACUGUAGAAACACAGUGGAGGUUAUCAGUUGCACAGGUGGUGCAUGGUUGUCGUCAGCUCGUGUCGUGAGAUGUUGGGUUAAGUCCCGCAACGAGCGCAACCCUUAUUGUUAGUUACCAGCACGUAAUGGNGGGGACUUUAGCAAGACUGCCGGUGA
rnacentral:rRNA from 1 species